CGGGGAGCCGGCCCUCGCCGCCGCCCCCGCCACCAAGCUCCUGCAGAAGAAUGGGCAGCUGUCUACUGCCAAUGGCUUAGCUGAGGAAGAAGAGUUCAGCCCCCAGGAGGGAGCCCUCAAUGGCCAGCAGGAAGAAGUCACUGUCACAGAUGGUAAGCUGCCACUUCAGGCUCUGGGCAGAAGCAGGGACUGGAGGGCGACAACACCUGCAUCGAAUC
rnacentral:lncRNA from 1 species